GGGGGGGGGUGCUAAUACAUGCAAGUCGAGCGGACAGAAGGGAGCUUGCUCCCGGAUGUUAGCGGCGGACGGGUGAGUAACACGUGGGUAACCUGCCUGUAAGACUGGGAUAACUCCGGGAAACCGGAGCUAAUACCGGAUAGUUCCUUGAACCGCAUGGUUCAAGGAUGAAAGACGGUUUCGGCUGUCACUUACAGAUGGACCCGCGGCGCAUUAGCUAGUUGGUGGGGUAAUGGCUCACCAAGGCGACGAUGCGUAGCCGACCUGAGAGGGUGAUCGGCCACACUGGGACUGAGACACGGCCCAGACUCCUACGGGAGGCAGCAGUAGGGAAUCUUCCGCAAUGGACGAAAGUCUGACGGAGCAACGCCGCGUGAGUGAUGAAGGUUUUCGGAUCGUAAAGCUCUGUUGUUAGGGAAGAACAAGUGCGAGAGUAACUGCUCGCACCUUGACGGUACCUAACCAGAAAGCCACGGCUAACUACGUGCCAGCAGCCGCGGUAAUACGUAGGUGGCAAGCGUUGUCCGGAAUUAUUGGGCGUAAAGGGCUCGCAGGCGGUUUCUUAAGUCUGAUGUGAAAGCCCCCGGCUCAACCGGGGAGGGUCAUUGGAAACUGGGAAACUUGAGUGCAGAAGAGGAGAGUGGAAUUCCACGUGUAGCGGUGAAAUGCGUAGAGAUGUGGAGGAACACCAGUGGCGAAGGCGACUCUCUGGUCUGUAACUGACGCUGAGGAGCGAAAGCGUGGGGAGCGAACAGGAUUAGAUCCUUGGGUUAGUCCA
rnacentral:rRNA from 1 species